CCAGAUUCCUCGGGGUGUCACCCCCGACCUUGUCGGGGAGCUGGCUGAGAUCAAACCCGUAGAACCUGAACAGGGUAAUGCCUGCGCAGGGAAGGUUAUCUAAACUUUC
rnacentral:ncRNA from 2 species